rnacentral:rRNA from 1 species
UAGUCCACGCCGUAAACGAUGGAUACUAGUCGUUGGAACUAAUCUCGGUUUCGGUGACGUAGCUAACGCGUUAAGUAUCCCGCCUGGGGAUUACGGUCGCAAGACUAAAACUCAAAGGAAUUGACGGGGGCCCGCACAAGCGGUGGAGCAUGUAGUUUAAUUCGAUGCUACGCGGAAAACCUUACCCAGGCUUGACAUCCUGCGCUACCCUGUGAAAGCAGGGGUUCCCUUAGGGGACGCAGUGACAGGUGUUGCAUGGCUGUCGUCAGCUCGUGUUGUGAGAUGUUGGGUUAAGUCCCGCAACGAGCGCAACCCUUGUCGUUAGUUACCAGCAUUUAGUUGGGGACUCUAACGAUACCGCUGUGCCAUAAGCCAGAGGAAGGUGGGGACGACGUCAAGUCAUCAUGGCCCUUACGCCUGGGGCUACACACGUGCUACAAUGGGAAGAACAAAGCGUUGCUAACUCGCGAGAGUGUGCUAAUCGCAAAAAUCUUUACCUCAGUUCGGAUUGGAGU